rnacentral:lncRNA from 1 species
CACACGAAGGAGCCGACCGUCAUGUUAACGUAGGUGGGGCCGCGCUGGUCGCAGUCGAAGCACUUUCGGUUGUGCGGGAGGCCGGUCAUGUCCCGCAGCAUCUUCAACGGCAAGAGGAGGCCCGCCCUGGGCGGCCGGUAGCCAAGUGUCCGCUGGCGCCCUCUGCUGGCCAGGAGGAGUCACUGCGGCCUCGCUGAGGCGGUAAAGAAACUGAGGCACAGAAAAAUUAAGUUGCUUGCUCAAGCUCCCAGGGGAGAUCCAGGAUUGGACAGUCUGAUUCAGAAACUGUGCUCAUAAUCACCGUACUAUACUUUAUCUAGUUGACAAUAACCACAUUUGAUGAAUGUGGCAAAACCGCAGAACAGC